rnacentral:rRNA from 1 species
UCAAAGGAAUUGACGGGGGCCCGCACAAGCGGCGGAGCAUGCGGAUUAAUUCGAUGCAACGCGAAGAACCUUACCAAGGCUUGACAUGAACCGGUAAUACCUGGAAACAGGUGCCCCGCUUGCGGUCGGUUUACAGGUGGUGCAUGGUUGUCGUCAGCUCGUGUCGUGAGAUGUUGGGUUAAGUCCCGCAACGAGCGCAACCCUCGUUCUAUGUUGCCAGCGCGUUAUGGCGGGGACUCAUAGGAGACUGCCGGGGUCAACUCGGAGGAAGGUGGGGACGACGUCAAAUCAUCAUGCCCCUUAUGUCUUGGGCUUCACGCAUGCUACAAUGGCCGGUACAAAGGGUUGCGAUACUGUGAGGUGGAGCUAAUCCCAAAAAGCCGGUCUCAGUUCGGAUUGGGGUCUGCAACUCGACCCCAUGAAGUCGGAGUCGCUAGUAAUCGCAGAUCAGCAACGCUGCGGUGAAUACGUUCCCGGGCCUUGUACACGCCGCCCGUCAAGUCACGAAAGUUGGUAACACCCGAAGCCGGUGGCCUAACCCUUGUGGGGGGAGCCGUCGAAGGUGGGACCGGCGAUUGGGACUAAGUCGUAACAAGGUAGCCGUACCGGAAGGUGCGGCUGGAUCACCUCCU